rnacentral:rRNA from 1 species
UACGUAGGGGGCAAGCGUUGUCCGGAAUCAUUGGGCGUAAAGCGCGUGUAGGCGGCCCGAUAAGUCCGCUGUGAAAGUCCAGGGCUCAACCCUGGAAUGCCGGUGGAUACUGUCGGGCUCGAGUCCGGAAGAGGCGAGUGGAAUUCCUGGUGUAGCGGUGAAAUGCGCAGAUAUCAGGAGGAACACCGAUUGCGAAGGCAGCUCGCUGGGACGUAACUGACGCUGAGACGCGAAAGCGUGGGGAGCAAACAGG